rnacentral:rRNA from 1 species
AGAACGAACGCUGGCGGCAGGCCUCAAACAUGCAAGUCUAGGGGAUGUAGCAAUACAUCACCGGCGGACGGGUGCGUAACGCGUGGGAAUGUACCUAUUGGUUCGGAACAACUGAGGGAAACUUCAGCUAAUACCGGAUGAGCCCGAAAGGGGAAAGAUUUCUCGCCAAUAGAUCAGCCCGCGUCCGAUUAGCUAGUUGGUGGGGUAAAAGCCUACCAAGGCGACGAUCGGUAGCUGUUCUGAGAGGAAGAUCAGCCGCACUGGGACUGAGACACGGCCCAGACUCCUACGGGAGGCAGCAGUUGGGAAUCUUGGACAAUGGGGGAAACCCUGACACAGCGACACCGCGUGAGCGAAGAAGCCCUUGGGGUGUAAAGCUCUGUCGGCUGGAACGAAAAAAAUGACGGUACCAGCAAAGGAAGCAUCGGCUAACUACGUGCCAGCAGCCGC